GGUGAGUAACAUGUGGGUAUCUACCCUUUGGCCUGGAAUAACACGAGGAAACUUGUGCUAAUACCGGAUAAGUCUUUACGGAGAAAGCUUUAUGCACCAUUGGAUGAGCCCGCACUUGAUUAGUUUGUUGGUAGGGUAAUGGCCUACCAAGACUAUGAUCAAUAGCUGAUUUGAGAGGAUGAUCAGCCACAUUGGGACUGAGACACGGCCCAAACUCCUACGGGAGGCAGCAGUGGGGAAUCUUGCACAAUGGAGGAAACUCUGAUGCAGCGAUGCCGCGUGAGUGAAGAAGGCCCUUGGGUUGUAAAGCUCUUUCGUCGGGGAAGAAAAUGACUGUACCCGAAUAAGAAGGUCCGGCUAACUUCGUGCCAUCAGCCGCGGUAAUACGAAGGGACCUAGCGUAGUUCGGAAUUACUGGGCUUAAAGAGUUCGUAGGUGGUUGAAAAAGUUGGUGGUGAAAUCCCCGAGCUUAACUCUGGAACUGCAUCAAAACUUUUCAGCUAGAGU
rnacentral:rRNA from 1 species